rnacentral:rRNA from 1 species
AACGAACGCUGGCGGCAGGCUUAACACAUGCAAGUCGCGGGAGAAGCAGUCUUCGGAUUGUGGGCACCGGCGCACGGGUGAGUAACGCGUGGGAACGUACCCCUUGGCGGGGGACAACGGCUGGAAACGGCCGCUAAUACCGCAUACGCCCUUUUGGGGAAAGGCUUCGGCCACCGAAGGAUCGGCCCGCGUUGGAUUAGUUAGUUGGUGAGGUAAUGGCUCACCAAGGCUACGAUCCAUAGCUGGUCUGAGAGGAUGAUCAGCCACACUGGAACUGAGACACGGUCCAG